GACUUCUGGUUUAAUGCACCUGGCCCGCGGCCCACAAGGCCUGUGAGUGCCGGCGCGCGUUUACCAUCCUUCCAGCAACGGCUACCCUUAACUGGGCGGCUGGAACUGGAUCUUUUACUUUGAAAAAAUUAGAGUGUUUAAAGCAGGCGUUUGCUCUGAAUACAUUAGCAUGGAAUAAUAAUCUAGGACUUCGGUUCUAUUUUGUUGGUUUCUAUAACUGAAGUAAUGAUUGAUAGGGAUAGUUGGGGGUGCUAGUAUUGGCCCGUCAGAGGUGAAAUUCUUGGAUUCGGUCAAGACUAACUUAUGCGAAAGCCUU
rnacentral:rRNA from 1 species